CCUACGGGAGGCAGCAGUGAGGAAUAUUGGUCAAUGGACGAGAGUCUGAACCAGCCAAGUAGCGUGAAGGAUGACUGCCCUAUGGGUUGUAAACUUCUUUUAUAUGGGAAUAAAGUUCAGUAUGUAUACUGUUUUGUAUGUACCAUAUGAAUAAGGAUCGGCUAACUCCGUGCCAGCAGCCGCGGUAAUACGUAGGUGGCAAGCGUUAUCCGGAAUGAUUGGGCGUAAAGGGUGCGAAGGCGGAACCAUAAGUCUGAAGUAAAAGCCGUCGGCUAAACCGAUGUAAGCUUUGGAAACUGUGGAUCUGGAGUGCAGGAGAGGACGGUGGAAUUCGAUGUGUAGCGGUAAAAUGCGUAGAUAUAUGGAGGAACACCAGUGGCGAAGGCGGCUGUCUAACCUGUCACUGACGCUGAGGCACGAAAGCGUGGGGAGCAAAUAGGAUUAGAUACCCCAGUAGUC
rnacentral:rRNA from 1 species